rnacentral:rRNA from 1 species
UACGUAGGGUGCAAGCGUUGUCCGGAUUUAUUGGGUUUAAAGGGUGCGUAGGCGGCCCUGUAAGUCAGUGCUGAAAUAUCCCGGCUUAACCGGGAGGGUGGCAUUGAUACUGCGGGGCUAGAGUACAGAUGAGGUAGGCGGAAUUGACGGUGUAGCGGUGAAAUGCUUAGAUAUCGUCAAGAACACCUAUAGCGAAGGCAGCUUACUGGGCUGUAACUGACGCUGAGGCACGAAAGUGUGGGGAGCAAACAGG